AUUGAACGCUGGCGGCAGGCCUAACACAUGCAAGUCGAACGAGUGGCGGACGGGUGAGUAAUGUCUGGGAAACUGCCUGAUGGAGGGGGAUAACUACUGGAAACGGUAGCUAAUACCGCAUACCAUCAGAUGUGCCCCGAUGGGAUUAGCUAGUUGGUGGGGUAACGGCUCACCAAGGCGACGAUCCCUAGCUGGUCUGAGAGGAUGACCAGCCACACUGGAAUGGAGACACGCUCCAGCCUCCUACGGGAGGUAGCAGUGGGGAAUAUUGCACAAUGGGCGCAAGCUGGAUGCAGCCAUGCCGCUUGUAUGAAGAAGGCUUGCGGGUUGUAAAGUACGUUCAGCGGGGAGGCGUUACCCGCAGAAGAAGCACCGGCUAACUCCGUGCCAGCCGCCGCGGUAAUAC
rnacentral:rRNA from 1 species